rnacentral:rRNA from 1 species
AGAGUUUGAUCCUGGCUCAGGAUGAACGCUAGCGGCAGGCCUAACACAUGCAAGUCGAGGGGCAUCACGAGGUAGCAAUACUUUGGUGGCGACCGGCGCACGGGUGCGUAACGCGUAUGUAACCUACCUAUAACAGGGGCAUAACACUGAGAAAUUGGUACUAAUUCCCCAUAAUAUUCGGAGAGGCAUCUCUCCGGGUUGAAAACUCCGGUGGUUAUAGAUGGACAUGCGUUGUAUUAGCUAGUUGGUGAGGUAACGGCUCACCAAGGCAACGAUACAUAGGGGGACUGAGAGGUUAACCCCCCACACUGGUACUGAGACACGGACCAGACUCCUACGGGAGGCAGCAGUGAGGAAUAUUGGUCAAUGGACGCAAGUCUGAACCAGCCAUGCCGCGUGCAGGAAGACGGCUCUAUGAGUUGUAAACUGCUUUUGUACGAGGGUAAACUCACCUACGUGUAGGUGACUGAAAGUAUCGUACGAAUAAGGAUCGGCUAACUCCGUGCCAGCAGCCGCGGUAAUACGGAGGAUCCAAGCGUUAUCCGGAUUUAUUGGGUUUAAAGGGUGCGUAGGCGGUUUGAUAAGUUAGAGGUGAAAUUUCGGGGCUCAACCCUGAACGUGCCUCUAAUACUGUUGAGCUAGAGAGUAGUUGCGGUAGGCGGAAUGUAUGGUGUAGCGGUGAAAUGCUUAGAGAUCAUACAGAACACCGAUUGCGAAGGCAGCUUACCAAACUAUAUCUGACGUUGAGGCACGAAAGCGUGGGGAGCAAACAGGAUUAGAUACCCUGGUAGUCCACGCAGUAAACGAUGAUAACUCGUUGUCGGCGAUACACAGUCGGUGACUAAGCGAAAGCGAUAAGUUAUCCACCUGGGGAGUACGUUCGCAAGAAUGAAACUCAAAGGAAUUGACGGGGGCCCGCACAAGCGGAGGAACAUGUG